rnacentral:rRNA from 1 species
GAGUUUGAUCCUGGCUCAGGAUGAACGCUGGCGGUAUGCCUAACACAUGCAAGUCGAACGGAACCUUCGGGUUUAGUGGCGGACGGGUGAGUAACGCGUGAGAAUCUGCCUUCAGGAUGGGGACAACAAUUGGAAACGAUUGCUAAUACCCGAUAUGACGAAAGUUGAAAGAUUUAUCGCCUGGAGAUGAGCUCGCGUCAGAUUAGCUAGAUGGUGUGAUAAAGGCGCACCAUGGCGACGAUCUGUAGCUGGUCUGAGAGGAUGAGCAGCCACACUGGGACUGAGACACGGCCCAGACUCCUACGGGAGGCAGCAGUGGGGAAUUUUCCGCAAUGGGCGCAAGCCUGACGGAGCAAUACCGCGUGAGGGAGGAAGGCUCUUGGGUCGUAAACCUCUUUUCUCAGGGAAGAACAAAAUGACGGUACCUGAGGAAUCAGCAUCGGCUAACUCCGUGCCAGCAGCCGCGGUAAUACGGAGGAUGCAAGCGUUAUCCGGAAUGAUUGGGCGUAAAGCGUCCGUAGGUGGUUAUGUAAGUCUGUGGUUAAAGCGUGGGGCUCAACCCCAUAAAGGCCAUGGAAACUACAAGACUUGAGUGAAGUAGGGGUAGAGGGAAUUCCCAGUGUAGCGGUGAAAUG